rnacentral:rRNA from 1 species
AUAGCGUAUAUUAAAGUUGUUGCAGUUAAAAAGCUCGUAGUUGAAUUUCUGGCCAGCGUUGCGUCUGGCUCUCUGAGUCGGCGUACUCGCUUGGUCAUCCGUAUGGGAAGCCUGCUCGGCCUUCACUGGUCGACUGGUGGAUCAUACACUUUACUUUGAAAAAAUUAGAGUGUUUCAGGCAGGCAAUUGCUUGGAUACUUCAGCAUGGAAUAAUGGAAUAGGACUUUGACCUAUUUGUUGGUUUUUCUCUCAAGGUCAAGGUAAUGAUUAAUAGGGACAGUUGGGGGCAUUCAUAUUUAAUUGUCAGAGGUGAAAUUCUUGGAUUUAUUAAAGACGAACUUAUG